rnacentral:tRNA from 5 species
GUCCUGGUAGCUCAGUAGGAUAGAGCAACAGCCUCCUAAGCUGUGGGUCGGGGGUUCAAUUCCCUCUCAGGACG